UAAAAUCAAAAGAUUAAUACAGUCGAGGAACUUUUGAGGCACCCUCUUAGACACUGGCUCAGUUUCUUCUCUUUCAGCAAGCUGAGCUGCAGUGACUGCCAACAAGGAGAGAAAGAAGGAGAUGCCAAUAGAAUCAAUAAAUACAGAGUGAAUUCGAAGAGCAAGGUACUAUGCCAGCCAUUUUGAAACAAAGAUGAUUCAUUCGAAAGGUAAAGUGACUGCUAAUGGGUAUGAGGUUUCUUUUUUCUUUUUUUUCUUUUUUCUUUUUUAAAUAGAGACAAGGUCUUGCUAUCAGGUAUGAGGUUUCUUUUUUUUUAUUGUGAGACAGAGUCUUGUUCUGUCACUCAGGCUGGAGUGCAAUGGCUUGAUCUUGGCUCACUGCAACCUCUGCCUCCUGGGUUCAAAUGAUUCUCCUGCCUCAACCUCCCGAGUAGCUUGGACUACAGGCAUGCGCCACCAUGCCCGGCUAAUUUUUUGUAUUUUUAGUAGAGACAGGGUUUCACCAUGUUGGCCAGGCUGGUCUCGAACUCCUGACCUCAACUCCUGACCUCAGGCGAUCCACCUGCCUUGGCCUCCCAAAGGCGUGAGCCACUGCGCCCAGCCAGGUAUGAGGUUUCUGAUUGUGGUGAUAAAAAUGUUCUGGAAUCAGUGAUGAUGACUAUAUCACUUUGUGAAUAUACUAAAAAUCACUGAAUUGUAACUUUAAAAGGGUGAAUUUUAUGGUGUGUGACUUGUUUUUGUUUUUGAGAUGGAGUCUCAUUGUGUUGUCAGGCUGGAGUGCAGUGGUACUAUCUCGGCUUACUGCAGCCUCCGCCUCCCGGGUUCAAGCGAUUCUCCUGCCUCAGCCACCGGAGUAGCUGGGACUACAGGCACACACCACCAUGCCCAGCUAAUUUUGGUAUUUUUAGUAGGGGUUUCACCAUGUUGGCCAGGAUGGUCUCAAUCUCUUGACCUCAUGAUCCGCCUGCCUUGGCCUCCUGAAGUGCUGGGAUUACAGCACCACUGCACCCAGCCUAUGAUCCAGCAGAAGAGCCCACAUUAGAGCUUAAGGAGGAUUGGAGUUGGGCUCUGACUUUCCAACACGUUUGGAAGCAGGAGGUAUAUGGGAAACCUCUGUAUCGUCCUCUCAAUUUUGCUGUGAAUUUAAA
rnacentral:lncRNA from 10 species